UUGACAGGCCUGGAAACUGAAAGCCUCUUUAUAUUCACGAGAUAGGUACAGAAAGAACAGUGACAUGACAAGCUUCCCCACUGUGCCCCAUGCCAUGGCCUCUCAAUAUCGACUUGGAGGGGCCACCUCUAGGUGUUAGAGGAGGGGAAUUCAGACUCUGUGGCCCACGCAAUCUAGACCUCU
rnacentral:sRNA from 1 species